GUGCUAGCGUAUCUAGUGUAUGUGUAUCUGUGGUCGGCACGUCUGGUAGCAUCUCUGGCUGCUGUUGACCUUGUUUUUGGAGUAAAACACGGUGGAAGCUGAAUUAGUGAGGAUGACUCCUGCUCCUGUCAUCUCUAAGCUCCUCACACAUCUUUACCUGCACAUGAGGAAAAUCACUCCUGUAGAAUGCAGAUGUUCAGAGGGAGAUGAUGCCACAUCUGGUCCAGCUGAUGGAAGGUCUUGAAGUUCUCUGACUGGCCUCGACUGAAGAUGGUCGUCUCACUGGAUUUAAGAUGCACAAUGAGGGACGUCUACAGAGACUGAGAAAGAGUCUCACCACAUCCUGACAUGAGGAAAAAGACUUUAUUGAAGACUACAAUGAGAAAAACUAUCAGACAGCAGACGGCUGCAUUCAAGUUUAGGCUGUUAGAUUGUUCCAGAUAAGACAAGUACAAGAUUCUUCAGAGCCGUUCUACCACGAGCCUGACAGGAAGAACUCCAACAGCUACUGAAUGUUCCUGUGGUCCCCUCAAGGCUACAGGAGGAGCCCUACGAGGACGAGCCGGUCCACCUGAUGGCGGCCAGUCGCUGCGGUUCAAAGCCAACACCGACUACAUGGACUUCUACUGGACCACACGGAGGCCUUCAAACCGGACCAACAAGUUCAGCGACUCCCCGACUCGUGGGUCUGAGGACGCCGCCGAGCCUCGGUCCAGCCGGCCUCCUGUCUGUGGGUGUUUGAGUGCUGAGAGGUUUGUGGAUGCAUGUGAA
ensembl:lncRNA